CGGGGUUUCGUACGUAGCAGAGCAGCUCC
rnacentral:piRNA from 9 species